GACGAACGCUGGCGGCGUGCCUAAUACAUGCAAGUCGAGCGCAGGAAGCUCACGGAACUCUUCGGAGGGAAGUGAAGGGAAUGAGCGGCGGACGGGUGAGUAACACGUAAGGAACCUGCCCCAAGGAUUGGGAUAACUCCGAGAAAUCGGAGCUAAUACCGAAUAGUUCUUCAGACCGCAUGGUCUGAUGAUGAAAGGCGCUCCGGCGUCACCUUGGGAUGGCCUUGCGGUGCAUUAGCUAGUUGGUGGGGUAAUGGCCCACCAAGGCGACGAUGCAUAGGCGAGCUGAGAGGGUGAUCGGCCACACUGGGACUGAGACACGGCCCAGACUCCUACGGGAGGCAGCAGUAGGGAAUCUUCCACAAUGGACGAAAGUCUGAUGGAGCAACGCCGCGUGAGUGAUGAAGGUUUUCGGAUCGUAAAACUCUGUUGUAAGGGAAGAACAGGUAUGAGAGGUAAUGCUCAUGCUAUGACGGUACCUUACGAGAAAGCCACGGCUAACUACGUGCCAGCAGCCGCGGUAAGAC
rnacentral:rRNA from 1 species